rnacentral:rRNA from 1 species
AUCUAUCUAGGCCCACCUUCCGGUAGGCCUACUUUGUUACGACUUAUCUCAUCUUAACAUUCAAUGAGAGCGACGGGCGAUGUGUACAUAAUUCAGAGCAAUAUAUCAAUGUUAUUUUUUAACUAACAUUUACUCCUAAAUCCAAUUUCAUUACAAUUUCCAUAUUUAAAUCCAUAAAAAUAAAAUUAAUGUAACCCAUCUCUUCUUUAUUAUAACUACACCUUGACCUGACAUAUUCCUCAUAAAGAUUUAAGAAAAUACCCUAAUAAGACAUUCAUGACAGAGGUAUACAAGUAAUAAAUAAAGUAAAAUUUAUCGUGGACUAUCAAUUACAGGACAGGUUCCUCUAAAAAGACUAAAUUACCGCCAAAUUCUUUUAAUUUAAAGAAUAUAUCUAUUAAUACUAAAGCAAUUUAUAUAACAAUCUAAAUAAUAGGGUAUCUAAUCCUAGUUUAUAAAAAGAUUUUCUAAUUUUAAUCAUCUCCUUAUAAAUAAUAUGAAUUUCAAAUUUCACCUAAAAAUCCAAUUUUAAUUAAAAUCCAAACAAAUUAAAUUUAACUAAAUAGAAUUCAUUCACCCUGGCUGUAUAACCGCGAAUGCUGGCACAACCUUCAUCAGAAUUUAAUUAAUUAACUAAAUCUAGAAUUACCUAAAUAUUAAAAUUAAGAACUGCAAAUAACCCUAAACCUUAAUCAUUAAGAUAUAUCUUAAUCAAACAAAUACUUGCAUGUACAAUUACUAAUAAAUGAAUUAUUAACUUUAAGCCAGAAUCAAGCUUUAAAAGCUAUCUCCUUUA